AGAGUUUGAUCAUGGCUCAGAUUGAACGCUAGCGGAUGCCUUACACAUGCAAGUCGAACGGCAAGCGCGGACUUCGGUCUGGCGGCGAGUGGCGAACGGGUGAGUAAUAUAUCGGAACGUGCCUAGUAGCGGGGGAUAACUACUCGAAAGAGUAGCUAAUACCGCAUACGCCCUACGGGGGAAAGGGGGGGAUCGCAAGACCUCUCACUAUUAGAGCGGCCGAUAUCGGAUUAGCUAGUUGGUGGGGUAAAGGCCCACCAAGGCGACGAUCCGUAGCUGGUUUGAGAGGACGACCAGCCACACUGGGACUGAGACACGGCCCAGACUCCUACGGGAGGCAGCAGUGGGGAAUUUUGGACAAUGGGGGAAACCCUGAUCCAGCCAUUCCGCGUGUGCGAUGAAGGCCUUCGGGUUGUAAAGCACUUUUGGCAGGAAAGAAAUCGCACAGAUUAAUACUUUGUGUGGAUGACGGUACCUGCAGAAUAAGCACCGGCUAACUACGUGCCAGCAGCCGCGGUAAUACGUAGGGUGCAAGCGUUAAUCGGAAUUACUGGGCGUAAAGCGUGCGCAGGCGGUUCGGAAAGAAAGGUGUGAAAUCCCAGGGCUUAACCUUGGAACUGCACCUUUAACUCCCGAGCUAGAGUAUGUCAGAGGGGGGG
rnacentral:rRNA from 1 species